GGGUGCGAUCAUACCAGCACUAAUGAACCGUAUCCCAUCAGAACUCUGCAGUGAAGCGUGCUUGGGCGAGAGUAGUACUAGGAUGGGUGACCUCCUGGGAAGUCCUCGUGUUGCACCCC
rnacentral:rRNA from 1 species